UACAGAGGUCUCAAGCGUUGUUCGGAUUCAUUGGGCGUAAAGGGUGCGUAGGCGGCGCGGUAAGUCGGGUGUGAAAUCUCGGAGCUUAACUCCGAAACUGCAUUCGAUACUGCGGUGCUUGAGGACUGGAGAGGAGACUGGAAUUCAUGGUGUAGCAGUGAAAUGACGUAGAGAUCAUGAGGAAGACCAGUGGCGAAGGCGGGUCUCUGGACAGUUCCUGACACUGAGGCGCGAAAGCGUGGGGAGCAAACAGG
rnacentral:rRNA from 1 species